UAUAGGUAGUUAGAGAUCUCCCUGCCUGCCUCCUCCCCUCCCCCGAGAAGGGCAGCUCCGAUCCUGCAUAAACGCCUGAAACUGUUUCAGACCAAGGAGCUUUGUGCUGACUUCACCAUGCUGCAAGAUCAGUCCUUCUUCCCCAUCUAUACAAGUGAACAACCUUCCCCUCCCCAUACUACAGAUACAACUGAGGUGGAUUAAGCACCUGAAAUCGUUGCUGCUUCUCAAUUAAGUUCCAGAUCCAAGUGAGGCACAGCUCAAAAUUAUCAUGUGAUAUAUAAUUGCAGAAUCACAGAAUGUGCUGAGUUGGAAAGGACUGACAAGGAUCAUC